UUGAGAGUGGCUUCCGGAGCUAACGCGUUAAGUCGACCGCCUGGGGAGUACGGCCGCAAGGUUAAAACUCAAAUGAAUUGACGGGGGCCCGCACAAGCGGUGGAGCAUGUGGUUUAAUUCGAUGCAACGCGAAGAACCUUACCUACUCUUGACAUCCAGCGAACUUUCCAGAGAUGGAUUGGUGCCUUCGGGAACGCUGAGACAGGUGCUGCAUGGCUGUCGUCAGCUCGUGUUGUGAAAUGUUGGGUUAAGUCCCGCAACGAGCGCAACCCUUAUCCUUUGUUGCCAGCGAUUCGGUCGGGAACUCAAAGGAGACUGCCGGUGAUAAACCGGAGGAAGGUGGGGAUGACGUCAAGUCAUCAUGGCCCUUACGAGUAGGGCUACACACGUGCUACAAUGGCGCAUACAAAGAGAAGCGACCUCGCGAGAGCAAGCGGACCUCAUAAAGUGCGUCGUAGUCCGGAUCGGAGUCUGCAACUCGACUCCGUGAAGUCGGAAUCGCUAGUAAUCGUGGAUCAGAAUGCCACGGUGAAUACGUUCCCGGGCCUUGUACACACCGCCCGUCACACCAUGGGAGUGGGUUGCAAAAGAAGUAGGUAGCUUAACCUCCGGGAGGGCGCUUACCACUUUGUGAUUCAUGACUGGGGUGAAGUC
rnacentral:rRNA from 1 species